AGAUUCACAGAGCUAACCUGAGAGAUGGCAACUAGCCCAUGGCCACUCAAUGAAGAUAAUUAUCACAAGAACCUUACCAAGUUGCAAUAGAAUGGGAAAGUAGUUGCCCAGUGUAAAGCUGAAGAGUGCCUAAGCCGUUCCAGUAUUCUAAUUUUCCCCUGCGGAUUUGAACUCUGGACUACAGCUCUGGGCUGUCUUUGGAUACCUGCUGCUGAUACACUAACCAUUCACUGCUGCCACCAUAGAUACUGGCUCCAGCUUUGGUUUUUGCUCUGCCUACCCUUCUCGUCUGUAUGAACCCAGCCAAGGAUCCGGCAUGUUGUUCAACCAAACAGA